rfam:Mesocricetus auratus contig234580, whole genome shotgun sequence.
GGGGUUGUACCUGAGUGGUAAAGCAUUUGCUUACAAAGCAUGAGGCACUGGGUUUGAUCCCUAGCACUGCCU